rnacentral:rRNA from 1 species
AGUCGAACGGAGAUACAAGGGCUUGCCCUUGUAUCUUAGUGGCGGACGGGCGAGUAACGCGUGAGGAACCUGCCCUUCAGUGGGGAAUAACGGCUGGAAACGGUCGCUAAUACCGCAUGACACAUUGGUACCGCAUGAUACUGAUGUCAAAGGAGCAAUCCGCUGAAGGAUGGCCUUGCGUCCGAUUAGCUAGUUGGUGGGGUAACGGCCUACCAAGGCGACGAUUGGUAGCCGAACUGAGAGGUUGAUCGGCCGCAUUGGGACUGAGACACGGCCCAGACUCCUACGGGAGGCAGCAGUGGGGGAUAUUGGUCAAUGGGGGAAACCCUGAACCAGCAACGCCGCGUGAGGGAAGACGGCCUUCGGGUUGUAAACCUAAGUGAUCAGGGACGAAGGAAGUGACGGUACCUGAAAAGCAAGCUCCGGCUAACUACGUGCCAGCAGCCGCGGUAAUACGUAGGGAGCGAGCGUUGUCCGGAUUUACUGGGUGUAAAGGGUGCGUAGGCGGGAAAGCAAGUCAGGUGUGAAAUACCGGGGCUCAACUCCGGGGCUGCGCUUGAAACUGUUUUUCUUGAGUGAAGUAGAGGCAGGCGGAAUUCCUAGUGUAGCGGUGGAAUGCGUAGAUAUUAGGAGGAACACCAGUGGCGAAGGCGGCCUGCUGGGCUUUAACUGACGCUGAGGCACGAAAGCAUGGGGAGCAAACAGGAUUAGAUACCCUGGUAGUCCAUGCUGUAAACGAUGAUUGCUAGGUGUGGGGGGACUGACCCCUUCCGUGCCGGAGUAA